rnacentral:lncRNA from 1 species
UGGGUGAGGUGCUGUAACAAAUAGCCCCCAACCCCAGUGGCUUCACCCAGCAAUAGCAGAUUUCUCUCCCCCUUCAAGUCCGUGUGGACGAUGCUGGUCCAGGGAUCUCCUCCAGGGAGGCACCGUCACCCAGUGAUGCGGGAUCCAGGCUCCUUCCAUCCCUGAUGACGUCAUCGACACCUGUGGCCUCCAGGAUCACCAGGGAAGGGGGCCCCAAAGCCCCGGGUAAACAAGUUUUCUUCUGUGGUUCUUAAAGAAAGUUUCGGCAGGUGGUGGGGAGAGAGGAGGGCGGCUCAGGAUACCUGUUCUCCGAGGAGGAGGCGCUGCCGCCAGGGACGUCGCACGGACUGGGACGUGAUGUGUACCUGCACCCCGCUAAGGGGCCUGAGUGGAGUGCACGAUGUGCAGAGAGGGCCGAGCUGCUGGGGGGAUGGCGUUACUGCGAAUUCCUGCCUCCCCCACCAGGCUGGGGGCUGCUGGGCUGCGUCAUCCUGUUCCCAAUGCCCAGCCCAGGGCCUGGCACAGAGCAG